ACUGCUCAGUAACACGUGGACAACUUACCCAAGAGUCCGGGAUAACCCCGGGAAACUGGGGAUAAUACCGGAUAGAUCAUCUGUGCUGGAAGGCUGGGUGGUUGAAACUUCCGGGGCUUUUGGAUGGGUCUGCGGCUGAUUAGGUUGUUGCCGGUGUAACGUACCGUCAAGCCUGUAAUCAGUACGGGUUGUGGGAGCAAGAGCCCGGAGAUGGAUUCUGAGACACGAAUCCAGGCCCUACGGGGCGCAGCAGGCGCGAAAACUCUACAAUGCAGGCAACUGCGAUAGGGGAACAUCGAGUGAUCCUCAUAUUGGGGGUCUGUCCACCCGUCUAAAAAACGGGUGUUAGCAAGGGCCGGGCAAGACCGGUGCCAGCCGCCGCGGUAAUACCGGCGGCUCGAGUGGUGGCCGAUAUUAUUGAGUCUAAAGGGUCCGUAGCCGGCUUUGCAAGUCUCUCGGGAAAUCCAGCGGCUUAACCGUUGGUCGUCCGGGGGGUACUACAUUGCUUGGGACUGGGAGAGGUAGGAGGUACUCAGGGGGUAGGAGUGAAAUCCUGUAAUCCUUUGGGGACCACCGGUGGCGAAGGCGUCCUACCAGAACAGGUCCGACGGUGAGGGACGAAAGCUAGGGGCACGAACCGGAUUAGAUACCCGGGUAGUCCUAGCCGUAAACGAUGCUCGCUAGGUGUCACAACAGUCGUGAAUUGUUGUGGUGCCGUAGGGAAGCCGUGAAGCGAGCCACCUGGGAAGUACGACCGCAAGGUUGAAACUUAAAGGAAUUGGCGGGGGAGCAC
rnacentral:rRNA from 1 species